rnacentral:rRNA from 1 species
UACCAGCACCCCGAGUGGUCGGGACGUUUAUUGGGCCUAAAGCAUCCGUAGCCGGUUCUACAAGUCUUCCGUUAAAUCCAGCUGCUUAACAGAUGGGCUGCGGAGGAUACUAUAAGACUAGGAGGCGGGAGAGGCAAGCGGUACUCGAUGGGUAGGGGUAAAAUCCGUUGAUCCAUUGAAGACCACCAGUGGCGAAGGCGGCUUGCCAGAACGCGCUCGACGGUGAGGGAUGAAAGCUGGGGGGAGCAAACCGG